UGGCAGAAAAAUCACAGACCAAAGGCCUCCUCUGGCAGGGGAGCCUGGAAGAGCAGCUGGGGAGAUUGGCGUCCUACCCCACUGCCAGUCUUCCCAGGGACUGAGAGAGGGAACAGGAAAUUGGCAACGUGUUGGACCUUCCGGAGCUUCUCAGAAGACAGAGGGUUUUCUUUUGAGGUAAAUUUGAUAGUACAUUUUGAUAGUACAGGAGGCGAUACGGCAUGGUGACAGAAAAGCGCCGGCUUGGUUAGCGGGACCACCUGGCAGGGCUGCAGGCUGUGCCACUUACCAGGCAGGGGAC
rnacentral:lncRNA from 1 species